rnacentral:rRNA from 1 species
GGGUCAGUAGGUUGGUCGUGCCACCGGUACGUACUGGUCUCACUGAUUCCUCCUUCCUGAAGAACCGUAAUGCCAUUAAUUUGGUGUUGCGGGGAAACAGGACUGUUACUUUGAAAAAAUUAGAGUGUUUAAAGCAAGCUAACGCUUGAAUACAUUAGCAUGGAAUAAUGGAAUAGGACGACCGAUCCUAUUUUGUUGGUUUCUAGGAUUGACGUA